UACGGGGGGGGGCAAGCGUUGUUCGGAAUUACUGGGCGUAAAGGGCGCGUAGGCGGCCAUCUAAGUCAGACGUGAAAUCCCCCGGCUUAACCUGGGAACUGCGUCUGAUACUGGACGGCUUGAGUAUGGGAGAGGGAUGUAGAAUUCCAGGUGUAGCGGUGAAAUGCGUAGAUAUCUGGAGGAAUACCGGUGGCGAAGGCGGCAUCCUGGACCAUUACUGACGCUGAGGCGCGAAAGCUAGGGGAGCAAACGGGG
rnacentral:rRNA from 1 species